AUUGAACGCUGGCGGCAUGCCUUACACAUGCAAGUCGAACGGCAGCACGGGAGCAAUCCUGGUGGCGAGUGGCGAACGGGUGAGUAAAGUAUCGGAACGUGCCCAGUCGUGGGGGAUAACGUAGCGAAAGUUACGCUAAUACCGCAUACGAUCUAUGGAUGAACGCGGGGGAUCGCAAGACCUCGCGCGAUUGGAGCGGCCUGUAUCAGAUUAGGUUGUGGGUGGGGUAAAGGCUCACCAAGCCGACGAUCUGUAGCUGGUCUGAGAGGGCGACCAGCCACACUGGGACUGAGACACGGCCCAGACUCCUACGGGAGGCAGCAGUGGGGAAUUUUGGACAAUGGGCGAAAGCCUGAUCCAGCCAUGCCGCGUGCAGGAUGAAGGCCUUCGGGUUGUAAACUGCUUUUGUACGGAACGAAAAGGUUUGGCCUAAUAAGCUGAGCUCAUGACGGUACCGUAAGAAUAAGCACCGGCUAACUACGUGCCAGCCGCCGCGGUAA
rnacentral:rRNA from 1 species